rnacentral:rRNA from 1 species
AUUGAACGCUGGCGGCAGGCCUAACACAUGCAAGUCGAGCGGAUGAAGGGAGCUUGCUCCUGGAUUCAGCGGCGGACGGGUGAGUAAUGCCUAGGAAUCUGCCUGGUAGUGGGGGAUAACGUCCGGAACGGGCGCUAAUACCGCAUACGUCCUGAGGGAGAAAGUGGGGGAUCUUCGGACCUCACGCUAUCAGAUGAGCCUAGGUCGGAUUAGCUAGUUGGUGGGGUAAAGGCCUACCAAGGCGACGAUCCGUAACUGGUCUGAGAGGAUGAUCAGUCACACUGGAACUGAGACACGGUCCAGACUCCUACGGGAGGCAGCAGUGGGGAAUAUUGGACAAUGGGCGAAAGCCUGAUCCAGCCAUGCCGCGUGUGUGAAGAAGGUCUUCGGAUUGUAAAGCACUUUAGGUUGGGAGGAAGGGCAGUAAGUUAAUACCUUGCUGUUUUGACGUUACCAACAGAAUAAGCACCGGCUAACUUCGUG